AGGUGCUCGAGGUUUUGCACCCACAGACAGCUCUGAGACCCGGGAAACGCCUCAGUUCCUUACAAACCUGGACACUUGGUUAUCCUACUCACCAACCUGGAGUGGUCUCGGGGAAAAUUCAGGAGGCAUAGCUGAGGCCUAGAGAAGCAGUGUAACUUGCCCAAGGUCACAGAGGUGGGAACAGAGUAGAGAUUUGAAUCCUGGCCCUCUGGCCCCUGAAGCCUUAACCACUUGACAGCCCGCCUCCCAGGACUGAAGACAGGCGAAGCAGAAGUAUGGUUAAAGCUGAUGUUUUUCCCUUCAUUUGCCUUGGUUAGCCUUAGUUUUUCCGUUUGUCCCAAAUUCUUCAUUUGUACAUUUCAACAACCUAUUUCCCAGGAUGUUAUGGCAACUCAUUAUUUAAAUGUAUUCACAGUUCCUUGGAAGAAAGGCUACAUAAAUAUUACAGAACUGUUUAAAAAAUAGAUGAAAUGUCUUCACCUGAAUAUAUGACGGUCAUAUUUCUCAUUCCGAAUAAAUGAAUGGGUGCUGCCUCUCUAAGCCCCAAGGAUGCAGUUGCUCUGGUUCCCUCUGUGGCAUCUCAUCAGUGUGAGAUCAGGCUCUUCUCCAGGGCUGAGUCCUCAGAAACCACCUCCCAAGCAGUGGCCAGGCCUCCAUGAGACUUUUUCUUUAAACCUCCUACUGUGCUGAGAAAUAGGAAGACGCAGCAAGAGAAUGGAUAAACUACAAAAUAAUCUCAUGUGGAAUACUACUCAGCAAUCAAAAAAUGAACUAAAUAUAUGCACAACAUGGUUGAAUUUCCCAAGCUCUUAUGUUAAAAAGACAAACAAAAAGUAAUAUAUACUGUAUCAUUUCGCUCAUACAAAAUUUCUUUUUUCUUUUAUUUUGGCGAGGAGCUGCACAUGCAGCAGGAUGGAAGUUCUCAGGCUAGGGGUCAAAUUGGAGCUGCAGGUGCCAGCCUACGCCACAGGCACAGCAACGUGGGGUCUGAGCUGCAUCUGUGACCUACACCACAGCUUAUGGCAACGCUGGACCCUUAACCCACUGAGCGAGGCCAGGGAUUGAACCCGCAUCCUCAUGGAUACUAGUCGGGUUCUUAACCUGAUGAGCCACAACAGCUGAGCUCAUCGCCCAUAUAAAGUUUAAAAACAGGCAAAACCUGGGGUGGUGGUUAAGGUGUGUAGAGACUGAGAAAGGGCACCAGAGAAACUCAGAGUGUGGAGAAUGUUUUAUGUCUUGUUCUGGGUGUAGUUUCCUAUGGAUAAAGUUGUGUAAAAAUUGUAAGGCUGUAUGUACACUUGUGAUUCGUGAACUUCAUGCAUAUUAUACCUCAAUAAAAAAAUAAAAGGGAGUGGGAGUUCCCAUUGUAGUUCAGUGGGUUAAGAAGCUGACUAGUAUCCAUGAGGAUGCAGGUUCAAUCCCUGGCCUCUCUCUGUGGGUUAAGGAUCCAGUGUUGCCAUGAGCUGUGGUGUAGGUUGCAGACAUGGCUUGGAUCCCAGGUUGCUGUGGCUGUGGUGUAGGCCAGCAGCUGAAGCUCUGAUUCGACCCCUAGCCUGGGAACUUUCAUAUGCCAAGGUGCAACCCUUAAAAAAAAGAAAUUUAAACAAAGAAUAAAAGGAAAUGAAAAGUAUGUUAGUAGAAGACUGUGGAGAUUUAAAUGCAUGGUGGGAUCCUCAGCCAGAGCUGAAGACAGGGACCAGCUCGAAACGCAGCUCAUAUGUCAAGCCAAGGGGUUGCUCUUUAUUCAGUCAGCCCAGGGGACCUGGUGAAGAAGCCAUGUGAUCAGACUGGAGUGUUGAAAUCUCACCCAGCAUCAUUCUGUGGAGAGGGAGGCCUGGAGCUGGGGCCACAAAGAAAACCUGGAGAUAACUGUCAACAGUCCUCAUCUGAGAAAGCUCUGAUUGUAUUUCUGCCCCCUUGGUGGGUGCACAGGUUGAGUGACACAAACGUGAAGUUGGGGGAGAAUGCUGUAGCCACACAGUGUUAAAACAGCUUUUCUCUGGCUACCAUACUGCUGAGGGCCCAGAAAGCCUUUGGCUCCCUGCCCUGCUGGGCUUCUCCUACCUCCCUCCUGCCUGGUUGGUCGCAGUUUUCUUCUUCUCUUCUCAGUAUUUGCAUAGAGGAGGAAGAAGCAGGCACUGCUGGCCACACUGACCUAAAUAAAAUGCAAGGGUCACAGGGUCAUUUCCAUGGGGAUUGUGGAUAAUUUGCACAUUCUCACUCAGGCAUGCUGUCAAAAUUUAAGACAUUUUCCCUAUUAAAAUUAAAUACUGCUGACUUAGAGAUAAGCAUUUUUGAAUAACUGAGUUGAACACAGAUGACUUUUUAAUGUAGCUGAAUCAUAGCUGCAGGUCCUUUGUUUAUAUUGAUUUUGAACUCUUCGAUAAAUAUUUUUAAACAAAAAACUGUUUAAUGUGUGUCUGUUAUGUGCUUUAAAUACAUAUACAUCAAGUGUAAGGCUAUGUCAGUAAUCUGGGGAUAUUUCUUUCUUUUCUUUUUUUUUGUCUUUUUGCCUUUUCUAGGGCCGCUUCGGAG
rnacentral:lncRNA from 1 species